CCCACAGCAGGGGAGUACUAACAAGCUAGGGUGAAGGUGCACUUCACUUACUGGAUGAAUACUAUUUGGCAGAUGAAAAACUGUGAACGCUUAUUUACUCAUUGUGUGUACAGUUGUUAAACUAUAUGGAACAGUAUAGAAGUUAACACUGGAGUUCUUUUAGAGACGGGAUAAACAAAGCCUGAGGGACAAAAUGUCAUUAAGUAGGAAAAAUUGGACUGCUCUCUCCAGUCUGGCAAGGCAGAGAUCAAUGGAGGAUGAUGAGGAAUUUGAGAAAGCUCGUCGGCGCCGGAACCGAAUAAGUAAUCCAUCGCCAGAUAAUGAGAUUGCCGAAGAACAACAUACAUUUGAAAACAGCGCUGUGUUUAAUGAACAAGAAGAGAUGUCAUCUCCACACUUGGAAGAUGAAGCUGCUGCAUUUGCUGAAAUGCUGAGAAGGAGAGAGGAGGACAAAAGACAGCAUCAACGUGAAACUUUACAGAGUCUGAAACUUGCAAAGUUUGCCUCUGAAACAGAAGCUGAGGAGGAAAGCAGAAGCAAGCAGGAGGACGAAAACCAGAAGCUAGAAAUGAGGGAAGUGCCCACUGAGACACAGAGGAAGAAAUCAGAUAAAGAUUCCAAUAAGAAAAUCAAUGCAAUCACAGUGAAGCAGGAGAAGGAGACCAGCAACAAUGUAGAGAGUACGCAGAAUCAUUCUGAUAAAGAAAACACUAGCAUUCAAACACCCCUUCAAUCACCUCUUAGUCCCAUACACACCACACGGGCUUUUAUAAGCUUAGGAAAGCCAAAAGAAGUAAAAAGCCCAACAAGGCUGAAAACACAGCUGAGUUCGGAGAACAACAAGUGCGACCAGGAAGAGGAAAACAGCACAAUGAUUGCAAAAGAUUAUUUCAAAUUUCAGGCAAGAGCAGAGCCCAACGUAAGUGAAAGAGGAGAGCAUGAGAAAACAGAACAGGAGACCUUUAAGAAAGAGAGCAGUGAAGCAGGGACACAUUGUGCGAAAAGAACAUCUGCUACAGCCACAGAGACACUGAACCAGAAAAAGGAAAAUGAUGCUGAUAGUCCCAGUUCAAAUGAUGUACCCUUCCACCGCUUCUCUCCAAGAGCUACAUCGUUCAGAGCUACAAAUCCAGAGGUGAAAAGCCAGCCAUUCCAAAGAAGUGCUAGUUUAAGGAUUCCAUCCAGAUCUCCUUCAACAAAGAUUGAUGGCAUACUUGAAAAGUAUGCAAAGGCAAUUCAGAGAAGUGAUAGUAUCAAGUCAAAGAAAUCCCCUUCUAACUAUCUGACCCGGCCAUUAGAAGGCAUUGCAAGCAAGCGAUGUGUGUUUGAGAAGGAUGAUGCUCAAGAUGCUGGAGUUCGACAUCUUAUAAACAAAAGGGAUAUCAGACCAGGGGAUGUAGCCAGCAAACGCAGCCUGUGGGAGAACAAAGCUGAUUCUGUAGAAAAGAUUCCUCAGCAGGUUUUCCAUUUUCUUUACAAACUCUUAAACCUGGCAUGUUUCUAAUGGACUUCCAAAACCCCACAUCACCAGAUGAAAAUGAAAGAGCAACAUUCAAAGAGUAACAUGUCAAAAUGAAAAAGGAGACAAUUCUACACCAAAGUGAUUUCAGAAUAUUGUAAUUAUUUUUCUUAACUCUUGAAGAUGGUUAAUAUUUUAUCCAAGCAUGAUCAAGCUAGCUCUCCAAUAGGAGUGAUUUUACGGUAAAAACAAUAACAUUCUAAUAAAGGGGAUUCAACUGCUUUAAUAACUGUGCAACAACAAAAUGCAGCUUUGUAGGUGAUUAAAAUUGAGUUUCAGUUUAAACAAAUAGGAGCAAGGGAAUAAAUCAGGUUCAAAACUUUGUAAAAUAAGAUGGUUUAAAAUUUACAAUUUUUUAUGUUUGAGAAUUUAAAACCAUAUUGACUGUAUUUCAAUUAUUUUCUCAAAAAAUAAAUUUUAAAAAAGGAUAACAGGUCUUCAAA